ensembl:lncRNA
CCUGGACCAAAGAGAAAGACCGUUUCAAACAAACAAAAUCAGUAAUUUUAAAUGUCACACAGUUGGACAAUACAUUAUUAGUGUACCACUAGAUGGCUAUAGAUAACAUCUCUGCUCUGUGGGUCAUGAUGAUUGCCCAGAUUACUUUUCAGAGAUUUGAAGGUCACUUUGUUGAAAACACUAACGUUUCAUUAGGGCCUGAAGACAAUGUUGAGACAGGAGAUUAGGAUAAGGGCAGCUGGCUGAGCAAGUAGGUAUGCUUGUCAAUCACAGAGAUGCAGGACACAUUCGAAGAAAACAGUUCGAAAACUGUGGAGAGCAGUGUGUGGAGAGCGGUGUUAGCCAAAGAGGCUCCAUUUUGAAUCUUACCCUCCAUUGUAUAGAGCAAGGAGACUAUGUUAUGAGGAACCGCGUCCUUGCCGAAUUAGAUUGCCCUGGAACGUGAUGAACGUUCUGUAACACCGAGAAACAAGGAAGCCCAUGAGGGUGGAGAAUUCCCAAAGAACUAGAAAACAAGGAAGCAGGUGUCUCUGGAUAAGGGUCAUGAUUAACAACCAAACUCACCUGCUGUAUAAAAGAGAGGAGAAAAAUAAACUUGGGCGCUCGGUCUCUGGGAGCCCUCCCGACUCUCUUUGUCUUUCUUUUUCUUCAUCCUCACUCCCCCAUUCAGGUGCUGUUCGACAAGUGACGGCGGGCUCUGUCACGGGUGGCGCCCGAACAGGGACCUGAAUACGGGGGACCAUAGUGAAGGACACUGCGCAUUGUGAGCUCGGAUAAAUAAAUUAAGGGCAGUGAAUGCACUCAGGAGUAGCAAGAUGGGUAUUGGUAACAGCCGGCUGCUUUUUGUACAUAUGCUUAAAAAAAUACUUCAGUCUCGUGGAGCAAAGGACGCUGAAGGUGCCAGGUGGCUGCCUGAAAGAUGGGUCCGUUUUGCAGGAAAUUCUCCUGCCCCUUAGGAUGAUCCCGACAACUGUCCUGCUGAUAAAUCUAAUGAUGACGCUUAAUGAGAAGGUUUAUUGGACUUAUGUAUCUGAUCCACCUGUUGUACAGCCAACAAGCUGAAAAAAUGGACAAGUAAUGGUAUGGGUGAACAAUACCAGGCUGUUGCAUGAGCCGGCGGCCCCUGACAAGAACAAGUUCCGAUUGUUCAACUAUACGGGAUCAGAAAUCGGAACCCCCCAUAUGUUUCUUCAAAAUCAACAGACUGAGUGCUCGCACCCUGACAGGAAGGCAGGUAGAUCAGUGCAAAGGCGGGAUCACUGGAGUCCAUCUACAUCUACCUGUGGGUAUGGAGACCACUGGUGUAGUGCCUCAGACUUUUAAUGCUCCAAUAAGACUAUUCCAUGGAAGAGAUGUGUGGCGGAUGCCUCCGUGAGAUAUAAUAUUACUGGACUUGAUACUUAUGUUUUGGACUGGUCUGAAAAUUCUUGUUAUCCCAAAAGAAAUGUCAUUGCAUGUGUCAUGUGCUCUUAUGUAUUGCUUGUAAGAAAUAUUAGUGUUCAGAAAGGUUAUGAUUAUUAUAGUGUAAUUUGCUUUGUCAAAUAAGUAGUGUCACCCGAACAGAAAAUCAGAUAAUGGUUUUGCGAAUGUGUUCUUAGAUUUGGAUAUUAUAGAUCCCCAAAAUGCAGAACCCCUGGAAUUUGAUGCAGCCCAGGCUGCACAGGAUUUUAUCGAACAAAUUAGAAAAGUUCUGCCAUCUACAUCUGCAUUUAUGCGGUAACUCAUUUCCAUAGUAAUUAUUGGAGGAGGGCUGCCUCUCAGAUGCAUGAUCCUUCCGGCGCUACUGCAGAUGUUUGUGCAUUCUUUAAUGAGGAUGGCUGGAAGUAUUCAUGGUCUAUAAUUACAUGCUACACCGUCUAAACCCAUGGUAUAAUUCCCUGCAGAGGCUGGUAGUCAAUGACGGGUAAGAGGAGUAUAGGAAAUCACCAACCUAAGACAAAGCAAGAGUACUGUGAUGCUCUUGACUCCAUGACAGGUAAGGGAUUUCUUUAUAUUCCUCGCCUAAGACAGGCACAGUCUAUCUGCGUGAUCAAGGGACCUUGAUCAUAAUAUAUAAAACAGGGGGAGAUGUGGAGAGCGGUGUGUGGAGAGCAGUGUUAGCCAAAGAGGCUCCAUUUUGAAUCUUACCCUCCAUUGUAUAGAGCAAGGAGACUAUGUUAUGAGGAACCGCGUCCUUGCCGAAUUAGAUUGCCCUGGAACGUGAUGAAUGUUCUGUAACACCGAGAAACAAGGAAGCCCAUGAGGGUAGGGAAUUCCCAAAGAACUAGAAAACAAGGAAGCAGGUGUCUCUGGAUAAGGGUCAUGAUUAACAACCAAACUCACCUGCUGUAUAAAAGAGAGGAGAAAAAUAAACUUGGGCGCUCGGUCUCUGGGAGCCCUCCCGACUCUCUUUGUCUUUAUUUUUCUUCAUCCUCACCCCCCGAUUCAGGUACUGUUCGACAAGUGAUGGCAGGCUCCAUCAGAAAACCCUGCACCUGGGACCAAUGAGAAAGUGCUGUCUUCAAUUCUUCUGGCAUGAAAUCAAGGAGUUUUGUUGUUUUUUUUUUUUUGGUACCAGAGAUAGAACUUGAGACCUUGCACUUGCAAGGCAGGCAGCAUAACCACUGAGCUAAAUCCCUGGCCCUCAAGCAGAUUUUGGAUAGGAUAGCCUAGAUCUGGCAUCAGCUUAAACAAUUAGGGGAUAUGAAAGACAUCUUCCAUUAACCUACAGCCACUGUGAGCUUUCUCAGUGGUCCUCUCUUGCUCUACAGAGCACACUUCUUUUCCUACCUUUAAUAAAUGUAAAAUCCCUGGGCUAGGCAUGUAGCUCUGUAGUAAAGCACUUGCCUAGUAUGCAUGAGGCCCUGUGUUCAUUCCCCAGCCCUGCAAAUACAUCAAUAAAUGUAAAACCUUGCCACCUUUUACUCAGAUCUUGUCAAAGUAUUUGCUCAGGGCACCAUGAAUCUGAAAAGAAUCCCUGGUGUCUACAGAACCCCAGAAUCCAGUAACAAACUGAUAGGCAACUGGAAGAGAAUCUAAAGGCUUCAUAUCUGUCUUCAUAUUGUAUCCAUCUCCUUUGCUAUCCUAACCUUUGGGUCAGAUUCUACUCAGCUCUACAUGUAGACUUGUUGAUCAACUGAGAAAUGUUCUGUCCAGAACUAUAACACCUAGAUUUGCCUCAUCUCUCUUCCCUGCUUCAGGGCUAAAGACAGCUACCAGAUGCUAAGACCAGAAACACCAG